rnacentral:rRNA from 1 species
CAGUAGCCGCGGUAAAACGAAGGGUGCAAGCGUUACUCGGAAUUACUGGGCGUAAAGCGUGCGUAGGUGGUUAUUUAAGUCCGUUGUGAAAGCCCUGGGCUCAACCUGGGAACUGCAGUGGAUACUGGAUGACUAGAAUGUGGUAGAGGGUAGCGGAAUUCCUGGUGUAGCAGUGAAAUGCGUAGAGAUCAGGAGGAACAUCCAUGGCGAAGGCAGCUACCUGGACCAACAUUGACACUGAGGCACGAAAGCGUGGGGAGCAAACAGGAUUAGAUACCCCAGUAGUCCCUGUCUCUUAUAC